rnacentral:lncRNA from 1 species
AUUCCAAACCAUAUACCUUGGCAUGAAACUGGUGGCAAACAUCACAUGGAUACUUACUGAAUUAAGAAGGAAGGACAGUUGAGAGAAGAUCAGUGUGCAGCUCUCGGCUACUUCUCCAGCACUCUGCUUGCCAUGUCUGUCUCCAGGCUCCCUGACACAAUGACAAUGGACUACCCCUCUAGACUGUUAAUACUGGGUACAUUCUUCUGAAACUAUGAUGCACAUGGUGCAACAUGAAACAAGACAGCAAUUCAAAUGUAACCUGGGAUCUCAUGCGUUUUCAAGAGCAAGGUCUACAGUUAAAGAAGACAGAAACAUAGGCUAAAAGUGUGUAAGCACCGAACUCUGAAAGCUUAUGUUGACUGGGAAGGAAUGAUAUACACUCAAAAGCCAACUACCUUUAUAAAGACAAGAUACUAGCUAGGCACAGCAGUGCAUCAUCUUUAAUCCUAGCACUUACUAGACAGGCAGGCAGAUCUCUGGAGUUCCAGGACGGCCAGCCUCAAAAAAACAAAGAAAACAAAACCAAACAAACAAAACAGACAGAGAGACAUACACACACAAAUACACACCCACAAUGCAUUUCCCAACGCUAUGCUUUGAAUAGAACCCCAAACAAUGAACAACCUAGGUGGCAGUGUUCCUUGUACCUGUACCGUGAUGCUGAAACACCAUUUUUCCCUCAAAGAAAGCAAGAUUAUGAGACACAGGGCUGAUUCCAGAUCCAGCACAGGAAAUAUACAGAGGAAGCUGAAACACUGUUACACCAAAGAGCUGCAUAACUAAAGACAGCUAAAAAGACAUGUAUAAGAAC